UAUAUAGAUCGCGUUUUGCCUCGAUGGU
rnacentral:piRNA from 1 species